CAAGCCAAUCUAAAUUUAAAAAGUUGUCGCUUGCCUGUCCAGAUGACGUAGAUGUUUUGGUCGCGGUAAUAAUUGCUGGCCCCGGGGGUGGGUGGAAACUCCCUCGUCCUGUCUGUGUGUCAGAACCCGUGAAACCCAUGCAACCCUCAGCAAUCCCAUCGAGGCCACCUUUCAGCUCGCGCUGAGAUUUGAACUCAGGUCGGUGGAUUCAGAGUCCACAGUGCUAACCACUACACCACGCGAGCAGUGUACUGCAUGUACGACAUCUUAAUCCUAAUCAUAAUGACCCAGUACAGUACUUCCGUAACGCAACGCACAACACGCCGUUCUGCUGCCUAUCUACCUACCUUCCUAGUGUUGCUGUGGAAAUAUUGGAGUGACACAAUGUUUUGGUCCGGCAAGCAAUCCAUUUUUGGCUGUUGGAGAGGCGGUGUAGCAAGCUACAUUUACCUUAGAAUAUCUUUAAGCUAUUAAAGCUUAAUCACAGUAACGGUACGGUCCCGUAUUUACGAACCAUACUCGUUAACUGUACGAACUCACUUUCUGGUACGCUAUCACAACCUAGCGUACGGCACCAAGACUCCAGGAAUGGAGAUGGCGGCAGGUGGGCCGCAUUUAAGCCACCCAGGUGAAGUGCUUCGGCCAGACACUUAACGUAUCACUAUACUAGUGUUCAGGGUUCAAGACCUUGCUGUCACCGUUCUCGACGUAUGUCUUCGAAUCCCGACUUCCCUUGUCUCUUCUCACGCCUAACGCUGGGUCGCCAAUCGUGGACGAGACCCUCUACUUCCGCUAAAACAGCUAAGGUAAGAGACGGCUGUUACAUUUUGGUAUCGACGAUCAUUUGUUCGGUCCUCGCCUCACAUUGCGCCGCAGCAGUUACUCGCCCAUUGUCUGAGUCUUAGACUCGACUUUCUGGAAAUGGUUCCUAAGCCUAUAGCUAAGACUAAGGCUGUUUCUUUGAGCGAUGCUAAGCACGUUCCUAUUCCGCGACCGAAGUCUAAGACUACGGCGCAAAUUCCUGCCGAUGCUACAACCGCUUCGNNNNNNNNNNNNNNNNNNNNNNNNNNNNNNNNNNNNNNNNNNNNNNNNNNCUCAGCAAUCCCAUCGAGGCCACCUUUCAGCUCGCGCUGAGAUUUGAACUCAGGUCGGUGGAUUCAGAGUCCACAGUGCUAACCACUACACCACGCGAGCAGUGUACUGCAUGUACGACAUCUUAAUCCUAAUCAUAAUGACCCAGUACAGUACUUCCGUAACGCAACGCACAACACGCCGUUCUGCCGCCUAUCUACCUACCUUCCUAGUGUUGCUGUGGAAAUAUUGGAGUGACACAAUGUUUUGGUCCGGCAAGCAAUCCAUUUUUGGCUGUUGGAGAGGCGGGCACCCGGGUAUAUAUUAGAGGCCUCUAGGGGGCCAGAUUUCUUUGUCCAGGGUUCGUGAACGUUGGUGCAUGCCUAUCUGCUGCAUCUACCUACCUGCUGCAUCUAUGACUCCCGACGACCUGACUGCCUGGCUAUCUGCCUGCCUGCAUCGGUAUGUAGGCUACGCCAGGUGGGAGCCAAAUACAGGUGUUGCCAUCAAGCAACCGAACAAGUUGCACUCACAGGGCACAUACUUGUACUUU
rnacentral:lncRNA from 1 species